UCCCUCUCAGGAUCGCACCUGGAGAGUUUCCAGGACUCUACCAGUCCUGGCUAUGGGACGGAGAGUCGAGCAGAGGCAUACCCAUUCCAUUCCUAGCUUGGGCAUUGGCUAGCGAGUGGAAGGCCAUCUGCUAAAAGU